CAGCAAGUUGAAGUUAUGAGGAUCCGCACAAACUUCAAAGUUGAAGAAUACUAUGGAGCUAAGGGGGUUGACGAGUGGAGUGUAGAACAUUAGGAGAACGAAAGAAAAAAGAAUGAUGUGAUAGUUAUGACCCUCCAUAUACUUUGGGAUGCUAUCAUUGCUAUGAGUAAAGCAUUCCUCAGUCUUGAUAUGGUUUGGAAACCAUUCUUACACAAAUAUAUUGAAGAUUUCCAUCACAGGUCUGCAAACUAUCCAAAGAUACUGGAAUGACGGCUUCCCCUGUAAUAUUGAAAGG